UACUCACAAUAAAACAAUUGAAAAUGGCAAAUUAAAUGAUGACAGAUGAUUUAGAGACACUUUUACCCUACAAAAAACCAAAAAACAAAAAAACCCACCCCCAAAGUUCAUUUAUACUAGACAAUUUUGGAGAACUACAAAGUUUUUUUAAAAAUUUAUUUUAACUGAAGGGUAAUUGCUUUACAGUAUUGUGUUGGUUUCUACCAAACAUCAACGUGAAUCUCCAAAGGUCAACUUGAAUGCUGAUGGGUUUACCUACGUCCCCUCCCACCUCCCUCCCCAUCCCACCCCUCUAGGUUCUUAAGUUUUCGUUCCCUGAGUCAUACAGCAAAUUCCCAUUGGCUAUCUAGUUUACAUAUGGCAGUGAUGUUUUCAUAUUACUCUCUCCAUAUGCACCCCCCACUUCCUCCCCACAAAGCUGUGUUCGUAAGUCUGUUAGAGAACUACAAAGUUUUUAUACUUGCUGCACAUUGGAAAGAAAAUGUCAACAACUAGUUUCUUUUGUACCAUAUCUAUACACAGGAAAAAAAAAAACUUGUUAAAAGGAAAAGAGGUUUCUGUAUUGUUAAUAUUUGACAGUGAAAGGGUUCCUUUUAAAUAUUUAACUUAAGGUUAAAUAUCCAUCUCUUACAGUUAUUAGACACAUCUUCAUAUCAAGGGUAAUAUACAAAGCACAGCAAUGUAACUCAAGUAUACUUCUUUAAAAACUUGGAAAAAUAUACUAAGAAUAUAUGAUUUAUAAUUUAAAAAAUUUAGAAAAGUGUGGGUAAACAAAGCUGAUGCAGUCAUUUGAAGGGUCCAGAUGAAACACCAUGGACUCAACAAUCUGUUCUUGCAGGGAGUAAAAUGCGCUGUGGCUGGUGCUGUCCGCUCCGCAGAUGAGCUGAGCCGGAGCACGCUGAGGAUGCUGCUGGCGGCUGAGAUGCGGUAUGUGAUCCAGAGAACCGUCAGGGCUUCUGCACCUCACUCGUGCUCUCUCAGCCUCCUUCCCUUCUUCCCCUCCUGCUUCCCUGGCCGCCUCCCAUCUUCCCCUUCCCCCCCACCUGCCCUCCCCCC
rnacentral:lncRNA from 1 species